rnacentral:rRNA from 1 species
UACGGAAGGGGCAAGCGUUGUUCGGAAUCAUUGGGCGUAAAGGGCGCGUAGGCGGUUGCAUUUGUCUACUGUGAAAGGCCACGGCUUACCCGUGGAGGUGCGGUAGAAACGGUGUAACUUGAGGCUGGGAGGGGUUGGUGGAAUUCCCUGUGUAGCGGUGAAAUGCGUAGAUACGGGGGAGAACACUCGUGGCGAAGGCGGCCAACUGGCCCAGUCCUGACGCUGAGGCGCGACAGCGUGGGGAGCAAACAGG